rnacentral:rRNA from 1 species
UACGUAGGGGGCAAGCGUUGUCCGGAUUUAUUGGGCGUAAAGAGCGUGUAGGCGGCUAGGUAGGUCCGUUGUGAAAACUCGAGCUCAACCUCGAGACGCCGGUGGAAACCAUCUAGCUAGAGUCCGGAAGAGGAGAGUGGAAUUCCUGGUGUAGCGGUGAAAUGCGCAGAUAUCAGGAAGAACACCCGUGGCGAAGGCGGCUCUCUGGGACGUGACUGACGCUGAGACGCGAAAAGCGUGGGGAGCGAACAGG